GGCAAUUUUUAAACCAGAGAAAUUUGGCACAGAAGUCCAGCAUUACUCCCCCACAGAAUGCAGUGAGCAACCAUGACUUAUAUGCAUAACAGAAUUGUCAAAGAUCUUGUUACAAAAGGAGUCUUCUGUAGGGUAACAGCAGCAGUGACCUGCAAAAAGCCUCUCUACAGGUUUGGAAUGCCCAGAUAGUCACUGCUUCUAAUAGCUGUAAAGUUGUAUCGAUGAGUUCCCCCAAAAGAUGGGGUGUUUUGGCUGUAACAAAUCCAUGCUCAUUGUGACCCUUUACCUUCUUAGGAAUACAGAAUCCUGGCACAUGUUCGCCUUUGGCCUCAUUCCCUACGGUCCGGAUAUCCCUGUGCAGGUCCUCGAUGAGAGCAAGCUGGUUCGCAGCGUCUAAUUUCUGCAGGAGAGAGAGGGAAGACAAAGAUGAGCCAACCAGCUGUGCUUUGCGAAUUCUUCUCAGGCAUUACCACUGUAACCUUUUUCGGCUGCCUCUCACCUUGGUGAUGGAAUUAAGCGCGUCCCAGCUCUCAUUCAAAACUACAGGGUUGGUGUCAUUAAACAGACGGAUCAAGCCUGAAACCAAGCUCUUCAGAUGACCGGUGUAAUCUGCUUUUGUCUUGGAGCAGUAGAUAUUCAGCAUGACAGCUGCUGCCUGUCUCAUUCCCAGCUCAGGGCUGCGGGUAGCUUCAAGUAAAUCUUCAGUUAUAAUUCUUUGUCCAGCGUCAUCUUCCACAGACAGGAUUACAGACUGGCAGUUUGCCAUCUCCUAAAGAGUCCAAAUUAACUUCACAUUAACUCUCAAAUAGAACAAAGCCAAAUUUAGCCCCUGGCUUCCCCAUGUUAUCCACAGCAUUAUGUCUUGGAGAGAUACUACAACAUACCCUGGUUGCUAAUCGUUUCUCAAUAAAUAGCUGGUCGUGUCACCAUUAAAGGCUCAACUCAGUCCUGGAGCAGAGCUAAGUGUAUAACCAACUCUCAAAAUCUAACAAGUGACCAAACUCUGUGGAACCGAUUGCUGAGCAGGUUGCUUUCCAGCUGCAGAAGGGCUAAUUUACAGAAAUUAGAGUAGCUCAGUCUCCCCCGUCUUACUCACCCGAGAGACUGUGAAUCUUGUCAGAUAACAGUUUUUUGAUUUGGAUAAUUUAAUGUUGUGCAUCAUAAUACUAAUUACAAGCCGGUCUGAGGGUACAUUAGAGAUCUCCAGGUAGACUUGGGGCUAGAAGCUGAUCUAAUGGGCAUCUACAGCAGACAGACAACAGGACUCUAACUCACAUUCCUGAUUCACCAACUUAUGUACAUGUCUAUCCGCAAUCACAACUCCAGGAUGUUCUCUGGAGUCCAAGUAUCAGAUGUUUCGGAAAGCAGUACGGGAGCAGCGCUGCAUGCAAAACAGGAGAUUUCCUCCCUUCAGCCCUUUAAUCUCUCAGUCUUCUAUACCAAGAAUAAAUACAAAGUUAACUAGACACUCUGGCAGUCCUCCAAGAAUAAGUAAACUGAGAAUUAUAUCUUGUUGCAGGCGAAAGAGACUUCUAUAUGGAUACAAAUAGAUUUGGAAAGCAUACGUUUUUCGACUCACAAUAUGCCACCAGGCAAAAAGACUCAUCCUGAAGAAGCUAAUGGACCGAAUUAAAACAUGCAAUCUGUGACUCCAGAGAACACGGGUUCUCUGCGGGGAAGCAAACCCCAAGCUCUAUCUUGAGGCAGCCUGUCAUAACAAAGAGCUGAGCCGUGCUACUUGCCAACUGCUCUUCGCUGGUCCCCAGCUUCUCUUUCAGCGCAGACAUCAUAGCAGGCAGGAUGACACCCAAGUGCCGUGUCAGCGCGUCCCCUGCCACCGACGAGAGGAAAGCCAGCACACGGGUGUUCACUGGGGGGGUAGUCAGCUAAGAAAGAGAAAAGCCCAAAAUUAUGAGACAAGCAGAAAGUUUUUUCAGAAGGAAUCUCACUUCAUCCACACCAUGAAAAAUGUCUAAAUAUAAACACAUGACAACCCAGAUGACAAUAUUUUGAGCACAAAAUCGGAAGAAAAUUUCAAACUAUGCUCUUCCUUUUGGCAUAACAGUCCAAAGAAAACUGGCAGCAAGCCGAGGAAAAAGCACAGCUCUGAAGUUUAAAAUUUGUUUCCAAUUUUACCUUUGGCACCAAAUAAGGCAGCACCACACGGCUCUUGACAGCCAUUACUUGUUUAAGACCAUCCACAGCAAAGUCAGAUGUCUCUUCAUUAUCCUACAGGGAAAGAGAAAGUCACAAACCUGAGAGAUGAUUCGUGACACAGCAAGUGAAACCACAUUUCAAGUGACAAUUUGUCAUGAGAUCACAUCACCAACACACAAGUCCUUCUAUCCAAAAUGCUCUCAUAUUAUCUAGCAAAAACCCAGACCAAGCUCUUCUGUCACAUUAGGAAGAUUUUCUGUGUGAGGAAUGAUGGCCAAGCAACUCAGGCAGGUGAUGAUGGCAAUUCCCGAGCAGAGCCAGGGGGAGGAAUCCGCAGGCCUGUGCUUCAGCCAUGAGACCUUCCCUACCGAUGGCUCCAUGGAGGAGGCAAAAUAGAACAGCCAUUCCCUGGAAGGUCUGCCACUACAAUCCUGCUUCUCCUUUAAACCAGUUAUUCAAAACCUGUCGCACAACAUCACUAAUUGAGCUGCUGACUAAUGCUGAGCAAUGCUUACCAGCUGCUUCAGCAAAAAUGGCAGGAUAUCUUCAAGAGCUUGAUGGCCAAUUGUUGAGUGCAACUGUUCGAAUGUUUUAGCUGCAGCCUCUCGGACUUCUUCCAGAGGGUCACAGAGCGCUUUUCUCACUGUAGGAACCAGGGAUUCGGAGAAAAGCAGUACCUGAAGAUGCAGAGAUAGAAUUGCAGAAUGUCUAAAGCACAACAGACAGAUGCAUCUCAGUAAAGUAGCUAACAAUGCAGAAUUUGCACAACUGAAACUAAAUUGCAGUUUGCUUGAAAUAUAUUGGAAGAAAAGCAGGAUUAAUCAAUACAAGUAGUUGCAGAGCUUUAAGGCUACCUAGAGGAUUAUUUCUAUUAUUAUAUCUCAUAAAAGUCAGAACUGGGCAAUGUUUUAAAUUUACCGACAGACACACAAAUGCUUACAUUUUCCUGAACAACAGCUCACGUUAGUUAUAAGCCCUGAGUUCAGUCCAUAAACCAAGUCCGGCACAGCUGUAUUAUUCUGUCUCAACUGCAAUACCUGCGCCAUAACAUAGAUACCUCAGAAAACGGAGAUUUCCCCUUCCACAUUUAACUCACCGCAUCCCUGCUGGUGGAUUUCAUUAUCUCGCUCAACCCAAUGCAGACUCCUUGCCUCUCAUCACUCUUGUCUGACCUCAGUCCUUCUUCCAGAAUAGGAAUGAUCUCAGGAAGGAUCUUCUCUCCUAACUUUCGGACAAGGUCUCCUAAUGUCCGUGCUGCAACCUGUCCCCAGAAAUUAAUUAACUAUUUUUCCGUUUUAUAAACUUAAGAAGAUGAACUGUGAGCAAAUAUUAACUUUUGACCAUAAACCACUGUUCACAGUAUAGACAGAGUAGCAGGAAUGGAAAUAACUACUGUUGUAAGUAACCAUAGCAAAAUGGUUUUACUGUCAUCACAGUUGCCGUCAGCAAAGAGAGAACUCAGACAUACUCAUGGUUUAAUUAAUUGUUAAAUUAAUGACAGCUUUGGAGUGAUUUAUAGGAAAGAAUUACCCUGUGUUCUUCAGAAAUGAGAGCACACAGUCACCUGCAGUAACGGGAAGGCAUUACUCAGUUUCUCACCGUUCGCUUAUCUGCACAAGUACUGGCCAAGAAUUUCAGCAGAAGCCCGAAGAGGGUUGGCAAAAUUUCACGCAGCGUGCGAGGAGUGUUUGAGACCACGAUCUUCCAGACGUGCAGGGAGGCCUGACGCACCACCAGCUGGGUGUCGGAGCGGCCCAUGUACAGGCCUGCCAGCACCCUGUUCCUCCUCUCCACACCCAGAGCACUAAUAAUAGCCUGCAAAGAAAUAGCACACAAUUGUAUUAUCCACUCCUGAAACUUACAAUAAGAACACGACACACGAUUACCCAAUUUGCCUUUCCAUCAGGGUUUCCAUGCUGCAAAAUUAAACAAAAAGGCACCAACAGACACAAACAGCUUUACCUUGUUGGACUGGGCUGUUCCGAAGUUGUCAUCCUCUGAGGCAGUUUCUGUGGUCAUUUUUCCAGUGACUCCUGAGAUAUGGAACAGAAGAUCUCCAAGCAGCUGAACUGAGCUAAACCUGGUAACGGGAGCAAGUCAAGUGUUACAAACGGGGUAAUUCAGGCGAUACCUGUCCAAAUAUGACAGUAUGUCAAAAUCAGACAGGAGCAAAAUGCAGGGCAAAGAGCUGGGUCAGCACCAAAACGCUGCAUGGGCUGGUACGUCAGAGCAGUCUGCCCACACCACCGAGGAGCUGCAUGCUAAAAAGAAAGGGAAGGAACAAAUUCCAAGCUGGUAGGGGCUGAGAGAAUUCCUGUAUCAAAGCAAUGAAUCACGGAAUAGCCUGGACUCUACAAAGGAUUGAGACACCAGCAUGGGUCUCAAUCCUGGGGAUCCUCACCUGGGAUAGGUGUGCUCAUCAGCGCUCAGCUGACACAAACUUUUUAGUACAGCUAAUUUUUGAGCCAUUGCUACCAGCUGUGAGCACUCUACUGCACAUUUCCAUGCACAGGAGAACAAUAUCUUACUCAGCAUUUUGAAAAACGAAAAACAAUAUAGGAGAGCUAAAUAUUGCCACAUCAACUGCCUUGGAAGUGUUUUUUGGAGUCACUACCAGAAUUAAUGAUUUUGUAGGAAUGUGCUGCAGGUACCAGGAAACCUGAUCUACGGCUGGUAGGGCUUUGCGGGCUCAGUGCUAGGAGGCGUCAUAUUCAAAUCAACAAGCAAAAAGAGAGACUUGCUUUUCCGUCCCAGGAGAUCUCUGCAUUUGCUUGAGGAGCAACAGAGUUGAAAUCACACCAGUUUUCCAACCACGGAAGAGAACUGUCUGGGGGUGAGGUGGUUUUCUUUUACCUUAUCCUCCACAAGUCAUCAAACAGGCCGUCCUCGAGCUGCGGCAGGAGAAGCGCAAUGGCAGUCUCGGCGUACAUACUUAUGAUCCUCUGGCCAGCGCGCAGGGCCGUGUCCCGCACAAACUCAUUCUCGUCUGCCAGUGCCUGAACAGGGAGAAAAGUGUCUGUGAAACUUUGGGGGUUUUUAAGCACAAUACAAAAAAACAGGUGGAGGAAAACAAAAUGAUGUUUUUUCUCUCAGCCAUGAAAAGUAAAUGAAUGAUGGAGUUGUGAAUGCACAAAGGUGAUUUCAAGAAAUUACUUGUGACUACAAACAGAAGACAGCAAGCAAAUCACUUGGAACACAAAAUAAUUUAUAAUUUAAAUUCUUUUACAUUUUGUACAGUCCAAAGCUGGACAAGUUUCUGCAUGUCUCACAAUUACUGUAAAUGAUGCUUAAAAUACUCUAGAGCAUUAUUUUUAUCCUCUAAUAAAUAAAACUCCUACGCACCUUAAGGAUACAAGGAAUGAUGGGACCAACAUAGGGAGUGAACUUGUCUCCAAAAGUAAUUGGCAGGUAGUUGAACAUCAUGAUAUAACCGUCUCGUACAUGAGGAGCAAUAUCCACUUUACUGGCAGUAGCUACAAUCUCUGGCAUAAGUUUCUCCAGCUUUUCUACUCCCAAACCAGCCAUAACUUCAGCCAGACCUGGGGAAAAAAAGCAGGUAACACAGCUGAGAAACACAAAAAAGAACAAGCUAAUCUGAUUUAACAUGAGAAAGCUUGAGCUCAGUAUUCAGCCACAGCUCUCCUCACCUUGAGCAGCACCAGAUCGAUCCACUGAGCUCUGCUCAUAUGUCAGUGUCUCCAUCAGCCAUGGCAACAAAUCCUCAAAGCACGAUUCUCCCAUCCCCUUCACCAUGGCUCCCAGCGCCUUUGCCGACACCGUACGCACCUGACAGACAAGAGGAACGGAGAGCUGCAAAAUAUCCUGUCAAAUUCACUAAGACAGAUGUGUCAGACUGAUUACAGACCUACGGAAACUCGGGACAAAGUCUGACCUAAUGCACUGCAAUACAAAUGGUAUUUGUACAAAGGACGUACUUCAGGUACAGGAUCCAGCAGAGAUGCCUUCAGGCCGGGGGUCACACUGGGCAGGUAAGGAGCCAGAUCCUGAAACAAAGAGCUCAAAGAGUAAGAACCAGAUUCAAAACGAGAAAGAAACUGAAGUCACCUUCAUGUAAAGGGCAUUCAGCCCCUUAUUACUAGCAACGAUCCUCAAAAUCCUGAGAGAUUAAUCAGUUGCUUUCACAAUCUUGCAAACACUGAAUUGUUCUGCAAGUCCAGGAAACACCAGUUCUGUGCAGACCACUCAAAACCUUUUUUAUGCUCACCCACAAGCUAGAGCCUUGGAUCUAAGGAAAAUCCAACACUAUUAACAUUUACACAAGGUUUAAAGGUAGAGAUUAUCAGCACCAAAAUUAAACACAGAUCUUUAGCCUACAGCGAGGUUGUACAAAUGCUUUUCAAACAAACCUUGGAUCCAUUUGUAAGCAGCUGAUCUGUGUUUCACUGGUUCUGGUUUUGCUUGUUUGUUUGUUAAGGCAUUUCUUAUAUGGUAAAAAUUACACGACCUUUUUGCAGGGAUAAAUCUGGUAAUAACUAGAUGACCAAAGUACAAAGCUGACAGUCUUAAGCACCUAAGAGUUGUCACGGUGUAGCCAUUAUUUAUUCAUUUACAUACAUUUGAUUAAAGAAGCUUUGUGGAUUCUAAUAUUGUUUAUCUUAACAGCAAAAUCCCCAAACCAAAUAAAUUCUCCCUAGUGCUUGCUCUGUGAUCUCCUACACAGCAUACACAGCACACAGAGAGAAUUCUUAGCCCCAUACCUUCUGAUCAGUCAGGGAGUACAUGUUCCCAAUGAUCUGGGCAGCCAUCUUCCUGGUGUCUGUGGAACGAUCUUGAAAAGCUCUCUGGACAAUCGGCAUGAUCAGCGCUAAGGAUGGAGCAUCAAUGAAAUGGACAAAUUUGGUAUCCAGUAGAGUCUGCAGGCACUUCUGGGUCUUCCUGGAGGGGUCAGUGAGAGCAUCCAACAGAACUGGAGCGAUUGCUGAACAUUUUAAAAAAGGAAAGAAAAGACUUUAUUCGUACAUAAAACAAAACCACGUGUCAGGGUGAGCUGGUGUUCUCUCACGGGAUACUGUAGAUCCUUCUAAAGGAGCCAGAAGGAGAAGGACGGGGGCAACCCUCUUAGCAUCAGCUGUCAACAUGGACAGGAGGAUUCAAAAAGCUUUGAAGCAGACAGCUGCUGUUAAGCUUUCAUGUCACUUUUCUAGGAGAAGUUUCAUUUCUAUAGAAGCCUGGAUUUAAUCCUCAAGGUUGUGAACAUAAACCUUGCUGUUAUAAACCAUGGUCACAUCAGGACAUCAAAUACGCCAACGGUUCUCACCCAGGAUCUCUGGAUUCCUGAUGACAGACCCAAUCUGCCGCAGAGCUUGCUGUCCCGCGUUCUGCACCUUCACGUGGGAAUCCGUGAGCACUUCAGUCAGUUUGGGCACAAUAUUGGGCAAGCAGGAAGAGAGCUGUUUGGGAGCACAGUACGCCAUAGCCCCCAGCAGUUCCACCGAUCCUGUGCAGGAAGGACACAAAAAAGAAAGAAAAACAGAAAACAAUCAAUACACACCAUUAAAAAGAGGUAUGAGGAGAUGAUCUCAUUUUCUCAAACUCAAACCUAGCAGCUGGAGGACACACGGAAUGUCUGAAAUGCAUUAAACUACUCUCUGCCUCUUAAA